CACACGUUUACUAUCUCAGAUUUUGAAGAAAUGGCAAAACCCAGAUUGAGACAGGUAAGAUUUGGAUCAUCAGCUGCUCGUCCUCAAAUGCCAACCAACGGUCAGCUACCAAAUCUUGAUCUAUUAGUAAUACUACUACUCCCUCCCUCUUAAGCAUUCCAAAGCUUCACUCAAUUCCUACAACAUCAAACUGGGUGCUUUUUACACUAUCCCCAACAUCUAGCUAGUGUUCUCUUUUCUGGGUCUUCUUACUCUCCCCAGCUUUCGAAAAAGUUCUGAGGCUUGAAUCAUGGCUGAGGAGCUGCAGAAACCAUUGUUAAAUCCUGAGGACUUCAAUCGAGAGGGGAUCGAUUUGGAACGUUUGCCACUGGAUGAAGUUUUUGAACAACUGAGAACUUCACGGGCAGGACUUUCAACUGAAGAUGCUGAAGCUCGAUUGAAGAUUUUUGGCCUGAA
rnacentral:misc_RNA from 1 species